AUAAACUUUAUUUGUAGUUAAGUAUAAACAAACUUUAUUAACAAAAUCUAACAUCCGUCCUAUCGAGUCAGGCUGCUGAUCAGGUAGAAGACAGUUCUGUGGCUUCAUUAAAUGAGCUCAAUAGUGGAACUUCUCCACUUCCAAUAUCUGUCUGUCAGUAAAAGGCAGAGAAUGAAACAGUCAGAAACUCUUUAGGAUGUAUCUGCUCAGCUGAUCAGUCUGCUCCUGUUAUUUGCAAGAUUCUUUUCUGACUUCCUUGCUCUUUUCCUUUUGGGUCAACAGCUGCCUCGUCAAUGAGGAUCGGCACACAUCCAGCUUCUUCUCCAAGUCCUGCAGGGGUAUACGCAUGGAUUAGUUCAGUGACACCUGAUGAUGCUGCUCCUCCUCCUCCUCAACUGUAUCUUCCAGUCCUUCUCCUCAGUGGCUAUGGUCAGUCUGAUGGUGCGCCUCUUUCUUCAGCAGGCUGGGCGGAUCUCUGAGCAGCUGCUGGAGAUUGUGUCUUGUAGCAUCAAGGUGUCAACACAGGUGUCAUUGAGCUACUUACCCAAAGCCUCUGUCUCCUUCUUGUGCCUUAUCACAUCUAGUUUGGUUUUUUCUUGUUAACUACAAUAACCUCAGUGAGAAAUGAAAUACCAGAUGCAAGUUAAAGGUAAACUGUUCCUUGUUCUCCAAUGGACAGGAGAGGGAAAGGUGAGGCGAGGUAGAAGAAGAAACAGAGGAACUAAAACAGAUUAAUGGAAACUUCAAAUAAUAAGGAGACAACGUGAAGAAAAAGAGGCAGAGAUGGAGUUAAGAAAGAACAUAGAGGAAACAGCUAAUCAAGGAGACGAGGAUGGGAGCCAUCCCCAAAACAUAACACACCCAACCACCCCCACCCAUGUCCUGCAAAUUCCCUUCAACAGGGUUCAAAUAUAACAAUGCCGCUGGGCUGCAAGGUGGAACAAUGGUUAGUGCUGAGAAGGCCCCAGUUUAAAUCCCGACUGGGACCUUUGUCUGUGGAGUUGCCUGUUCUCCUCAUGCAUGUGUGGGUUUUCUCCAGGCACUCCAGCUCCCUCCCACAGUCUAAAAACAUGCUUCAUUGGUUAAUUGGCUACUCUAAUAGUGUCCCUAUAGGUGUGCAUGUGUGUGUGAUUGUGUGCCCUACGACAGACAACACUGUGACACAGAAAUGGAUGGAUGGAUGGAUAUGACAAAUUCAAAUGAAACCACAAGUGUGUCCCACACUGAACCGGUUUAAUCUGAAAUCAGGUGCAAACGCAAUCAUGUGGAUGCAGAACAAAAUAAAAUAACAGCAUCGAUGAAUUACAACAAAUCAUCUUUAAGCUGAGAUAAAACAAAAGCUUUUUUUCCCUGGUAAUUGCAAUGUCAACACAGAAAACUUGUGUGUAAUUUGCAGCUGAUUCUAGACAGGUGAUUGUGAGUAAAAGGUUGAAAACGAACAGCACCUGUUGAGCACAAGCUGUGCUCAGCGAACCUAUUGGCAGAAUUUUCCUUGAAGGAGAAAAAACGAAUCCAUGAAGUGGCAGAAGGAGAGGCUGCUGGAGGUGGUGAAGCAGUUCCCUUCAAUUAGAGUUCAUCUGGACAGGAGAAAACACAAAGCAAAACAGGAGGAAACACUUGUUGCUCCUGUUUGGAGCCACGACCAUCCUGGUUAAAUUAAAGAUGCUGAGCUUCAUACAUUGGCAGCAGGUGAAAAAGAUCAAGCAACAAUGCAAUACCUCAGGAGUGUCUUGAAUGAAUGGGGUCAAUGUCUGACCACUGUUGUGGUGGCAUCAGAAUCUGAAGAGGGCUAAAAAAGACUGGGCUGACUGAAAAGUUCAAGCAUGUCCAAGAACCUCCACCUAAAAUCCUGUAUGCAGACACUUACUGUUGUUGUGAUGGCGGCACGUCCAUGCUGGAAUCCUUGUUUGCUGACUGGGUUGAAGAGGGCAUGGUGAUCCGGCUCGACAUUCCUCACUGGCUGCACCGCUGGGAUGCUGUGGUCAUCAGGCAAACCCACGCCAAGUAUGGAGUCUUCAUGAGCGCCAUGGCUGGAGCCCUGCUGUUUUACUGUACAGUGACUCCAAAUCCAUCUCUGCCGUUCUUACACGUAUGGAGAGGAAGGCAACCUGGUACCACAAGUGACCUCCCACCAAAGGGUCCUGCCGAGCCAUUGCCUGAAGCUCCACAUCCUCCACACUCCCUGCACCUAACAAACUGCAGCAUAUAUAUUGUGGACUAGUGAUCAGAAAAUCUGGAACGACUCAAGGAGAGAGGAGGCAGAGACUGCAAUAUUUGUUUUGAAAAAAAUAUUUUGUAAUAAUUUGGGGGGAAAAAACAGACAUAACAUGCAAUAAUAUGCAAAUAGGGAAAGCACAAAUCCAAGAAAUUACAGUGUUCAACUAUUUACAAAUAAUAGUCCUUUGAGUGAUCCAGUGUAUCUGAAUCAGCUCAUGCAUCGUCCAUACAACCCAGACAGGGAUUGAUAAAUCCAGAGGCAGGUGUCCAGUGAAGGGGAGUGAUUGAAGUCUAUGAAAAGGUCACUGGGUCGUAGGAAGAAUGCAAAAACAAAAAGAAAUGAGUCUGUAGGCUACAGGAGCCUCCUACCAGCCCGGACUGAGCAAUAGCAUGAAGGAAGUUCCUAGGCAGGCUCCAAUGCCUGGUCUCUUUUCUGGUUCGGGCUUAGCUCACCAUCUAUAUAAGGCCUGGAUAAAGAACAGGACCCAUUUGAUCCAAAAAUUAAUUACAUUCUGUGUGCACACAAGAUCUUCCUCUAAAUAUAAAAAUAUAAAUUGUAUUAGUCAUGUAAAUUCUGUCAUUUGAAGUUCCAGCAUUGUACAAUACACAUUCAGCUCUCAAUUCGUUAAAAACUUUUCAGUGAAUCAUUAGCACUUGAACAAGCUCAAGAGAAAGGCACAUAAGGGUGCGUUUCCAUUCAUUGGAAUGGCUUCUCAAUUUAAAGUGCAUUUCGGUUCAUAAUACAACAGCAAAAUAAUUUAAUUAGACAAAAUAACUAAAGAACCUAUACAUUAAUUAAUAAUCAAUGUGGUUGCAUUAACAAAAAAUGUUACCAUGUAGUGUAAACAUCAAUGUUGUAGAAAACAGAAAUUUGGCAUUGAUGAUAGCAGCUGUUAACCUGUCCACGUCAUUCAUUGACAUGACGUUCAUGCUAAGCUAACCACAACAAACAGUAGGAAGUAUAGACUCACCGAUGUCAUCAAAAUGUGUCAAAUACGCAGCUUAUUUGCGGCCGGUUUAAGCUGGUAGUUGGCUCCUACAAGUUAAUCAUAUGGGAAAGAUCAGGACGAGAUCAAAUGAUUUUAAAGUAAAUCCGAAGCCAAACAUACCUUGUAGCGUCAUAAUUCGGCUCUCCUGUCAUGUACUGUGAUAGCUUCUGGGGUAGCGACUUAUAAAGCUAACUGAUUGGUUGGUCGCGGUCACAUGACCCAAGGCACGCAAGGCACGUAGUACACACGCAACAGGUGAGGAA